rnacentral:rRNA from 1 species
AUGCACGCUGGCGGCGUGCCUAAUACCUGCAAGUCGAGCUAACAGACGAGGAGCUUGCUCCUCUGACGUUAGCGGCGGACGGGUGAGUAACACGUGGAUAACCUACCUAUAAGACUGGGAUAACUUCGGGAAACCGGAGCUAAUACCGGAUAAUAUAUUGAACCGCAUGGUUCAAUAGUGAAAGACGGUUUUGCUGUCACUUAUAGAUGGAUCCGCGCCGCAUUAGCUAGUUGGUAAGGUAACGGCUUACCAAGGCGACGAUGCGUAGCCGACCUGAGAGGGUGAUCGGCCACACUGGAACUGAGACACGGUCCAGACUCCUACGGGAGGCAGCAGUAGGGAAUCUUCCGCAAUGGGCGAAAGCCUGACGGAGCAACGCCGCGUGAGUGAUGAAGGUCUUCGGAUCGUAAAACUCUGUUAUUAGGGAAGAACAAAUGUGUAAGUAACUAUGCACGUCUUGACGGUACCUAAUCAGAAAGCCACGGCUAACUACGUG